rnacentral:sRNA from 1 species
UUGACAGCCCUGAAGACCUCUGUUUAUCCACAGAACAGGUACAGCAUGAGUAGCAAUAGCAUGAGCUUCCCUACAAUGUGCCUCAAACCUUCUCCUACGUGGGAAGAAAUCAUGGGAAUUACACUGAAAAGAUACAUUUGAUAACUGAGUCCA